rnacentral:rRNA from 1 species
UACGUAGGGGGCAAGCGUUGUCCGGAUUUAUUGGGCGUAAAGAGCGUGUAGGCGGUUUGGUAGGUCCGCUGUGAAAACUCGAGGCUCAACCUCGAGACGCCGGUGGAAACCAUCAGACUAGAGUCCGGAAGAGGAGAGUGGAAUUCCUGGUGUAGCGGUGAAAUGCGCAGAUAUCAGGAGGAACACCAAUGGCGAAGGCAGCUCGCUGGGACGUGACUGACGCUGAGACGCGAAAGCGUGGGGAGCAAACAGG